rnacentral:rRNA from 1 species
UCUUUCUUUUGCUGGCGACCGGCGCACGGGUGAGUAACACGUAUCCAACCUGCCCUUUACUCGGGGAUAGCCUUUCGAAAGAAAGAUUAAUACCCGAUAGCAUAAUGAUUCCGCAUGGUUUCAUUAUUAAAGGAUUCCGGUAAAGGAUGGGGAUGCGUUCCAUUAGGUUGUUGGUGAGGUAACGGCUCACCAAGCCUUCGAUGGAUAGGGGUUCUGAGAGGAAGGUCCCCCACAUUGGAACUGAGACACGGUCCAA